GGCGUAGGGCGCGAGCGUUGUCCGGAUUUAUUGGGCGUAAAGAGCGUGUAGGCGGCUUUACAGGUCCGUUGUGAAAACUCGAGGCUCAACCUCGAGACGCCGGUGGAAACCGUAAGGCUAGAGUCCGGAAGAGGAGAGUGGAAUUCCUGGUGUAGCGGUGAAUGACGCAGAUAUCAGGAGGAACACCCGUGGCGAAAGCGGCUCUCUGGGACGGUACUGACGCUGAGACGCGAAAGCGUGGGGAGCAAACAGG
rnacentral:rRNA from 1 species